UGCAUUAAGACUCCAGUUUUC
rnacentral:siRNA from 1 species